UGGGGAAUCUUGCACAAUGGGGGCAACCCUGAUGCAGCGACGCCGCGUGAGCGAUGAAGCCCUUCGGGGCGUAAAGCUCUUUCGACCGGAACGAUAAUGACGGUACCGGGAGAAGAAGCUGCGGCUAACUACGUGCCAGCAGCCGCGGUAAUACGUAGGCAGCAAGCGUUGUUCGGAGUUACUGGGCGUAAAGAGUGCGUAGGCGGUUUUCUAAGUUCGGUGUGAAAUCUCCCGGCUUAACUGGGAGGGUGCGCCGAAGACUGGGAAGCUGGAGUGUGGGAAAGGCAGGCGGAAUUCCUGGUGUAGCGGUGAAAUGCGUAGAUAUCAAGAGGAACACCUGAGGUGAAGACGGGUUGCUGGGCCGACACUGACGCUGAGGCGCGAAAGCCAGGGGAGCAAACG
rnacentral:rRNA from 1 species